AUUCUAUGAUUCUAUGACCACAGAAUCACAGAACCAUUGGGAAUGGGAGGGACAUCUGGAGAUCAUCAAGCCCAACAUCGUGCUAAAGCAGUCCUCUACAAUAGGUCACACAGCCAGUUUCCUCACGGCACCAUUCUAGGACGG